GCACUGCUAACAAACACGAGUGAACGCAGAUAUAAGAUAAGACAUUUUAACUGUCACGUUUUAAAUCACUUUUAUGACACUUAACUAGGUUUUUUCCCUAAAGUUGCCGCUUCGGUUUAGUGAGCUUUAAAGUGUCAGUGAGUUUCAGAGUGACGGCUCUUCUUAGCGCUUGUUAGCUGUGCUAGCCGUGUUAGCUCGUUAGCCCGGCGUCAUUUCCUUUGGUUUGAAAAUCGCGGCCACGAAGAAAACGAAGCAGCGAUGGAACUACAAGUGGGGACUGAACCCAUGACCCUUGGCUCUCCCACGUCAACCAAGACAAACCCCGGGGCCCAGUUCCUGCCCGGCUUCCUCAUGGGUGACCUUCCUGCUCCGGCGAGCCCGCAGCCCCGCCCCUUCAGCCUGACCAUGCCCCUCAUGGAGAGCACAGGUACGCCGCGAGGCGGAGGAAGUGGAGGAGGAGGAGGCUCCGCCCCUCAGCCUGUCAUCCCCACCCCUAAAGAUAAAAGUGGAGCCCCGCCUGUUCGCAGUAUCCGCGACGACCUGGUGUGUGUGGGGACACCGCUCAGUGCACACAGGACGUCUUUUUCAGUCAUGCAGUCUCCUCUGUCUGUACGACAGGGUACUCCAGGAAAUACUACAGGUUUGCAGCAGGCGUGUUUGUCUCCAGCUCAGGUCGAUCCGUUCUACAGUCAGGGAGAAUCUUUGUCAUCUGAAGAUCAACUGGACCAGACCUGGGUCACUGUGUUUGGUUUCCCUCCCGCGUCCGCCUCGUACAUCCUGCUGCAGUUUGCUCAGUACGGAAACAUCCUGAAACACAAGAUGGCGUCUCCUGGUAACUGGAUGCAUCUUCAGUAUCAGUCCAAGCUUCAGGCGAAGAAAGCUCUGUCCAAGGAUGGAAAAGUGUUUGGAGACGCCAUCAUGGUGGGAGUGAAGCCCUGUAUAGACAAGAGUGUGAUGGACAGCAGCGAGGCCGACUCCUCCCCCUUCUCCUCGUCCAUGUGCUCCUCCUCCGUCCUCCCGUCCACGCCUCGCUCCGCCAUCAGACCGCUCAGCUCCGCCUACAGGAGCUCCACCGGAGACUUCCAGGUGGUGUCAGACAGACAGACGCCCAGGAAGGACGACAGCUUAGUUUCCAAAGCAAUGGAAUACAUGUUCGGCUGGUGACGUCACCCAGUGCAUCAUGGGAUACAUGCGGAGAAUCUGAGGACGAACGACAUGAGUUUACUACUCUGUGUGUGUGAGACUGUACAUGACUGUGUGUGUGUGUGUGUGAGAGACUGUACA